rnacentral:lncRNA from 1 species
CUUCGUCAGCGCCGCCCUUGCCACGUCUCCUCAAGAGACGGCCUCUGGCAGUAAUGGAGCCAACCCGCUCUGGGCGAAUGAGCAACUGCUUGGGAAAUAUCAAGAUGCCUGGAAAAGCAUCGAUCAGGGUGAAUCGGUGACUUACGUCCUCGCAAAGACAACGUACGAAAAUGACACAGGAUCAUGGGGAGCCCAGUUUAAGUGCCUGCAGGUGCAAGAAACCGAAAGAAA